GCAAGCUCCACAGCAGGGGGCAGGGAAAGGAGACCUCCCUAUGGGUUGCAUUGUCAAAAGAGCCUUAUAAGUAAUUCCUCAUUGCAUCUUUAUUCAGCCUUGAUUGACAACACCUGGCUGCACCUCUACAAGAGGCCUUAUGGGCAGCACUUCGUUAUAUCUUUACAGAAAGUCUUUCUCUAUCAAGCAAAGAAAGAUAGUUCUGGGGGUGAAAAGUCUCUUCUCGGUCUGCUUCCACUACACCUAGCUGAUGAGAAGGAAUCCCUGUGUAGCUCCUAACCGGGGGGAAUGAAGGCUUAACUAGUCCAUGCCCUACAACCACCCAAAGGGCCGCCUGAUCCAAACCAGAAGGGAAGGGGGUUCACUGCCUAGAGAAAACUUUGGACCAGUGAGAAUUGGGAGCUGGGAGGGAACUGAGCAAAUACAUUUCUCCUCAAUUGCCACACUCAUGGACUUUUCUUAGGCAGUGUAUUCCCCCAUAGACUGACUAGAGACAACUUGCAGGCUGAGUAAAUGUACCAGCCAAGCAUCUGGACUGCCUGUCUCCUCACAGGUCGCAGGGUAUUCCCACUGAGAAGUAUCAUGGCUUUCCUAAGGAUCGUACCAGCCAAGCAAAGCUUUGGUGCUUCACUCUGGCUCUGUGGUAGAAUCCAGGCUAUGACUGGCUAGAGAAAGGGCCAUGGAAUAUGAUCUUCUUUAGAAAAGCAGAUUGCUUAGCCUAAGAUGCAGCGAGGACCCUUCUGGCUUCUAUUUCUCUGGCAAGAAUCUUCCACAGUACCCUUUGUGUAUAGUACUCUGCAUCCUAUGGUUGUUAUCCUGAUUGACAUGGUUGGUACCCUGCAUCUAAUGGAUACUAUCCAACAUCCCAUUGUUGGUACCCUGUAUUCUAUGGUUGGUUCCCUAAUUCCCAUGGAUGGUACUCUGCACCCCAUGGAUGAUAUCCUGCAUCCCACGGUUGAUAUCAGUGAACAGCGUGUGAGGCAGACAACCAAGUCAUCAGAAUCUAACAAGAUUCACAAGAUCCCACACUGCCCUGAAGCCAUCAUCUAACUUCUUGACUGCUUCCACUCGCAUGAGGUGAUUUUAAAAGCAAGCCUUCCUUCACUGUUUGCUGUAAGGACUCACCCGACCUGGUGGCUAAGUUUGACAGGCCCUGUACCGCACAGAAGCAGAUUGAGUCUACUGCUGCUGCUUCUGUUGAAAUGAAACUUUGGGUCUCACAGAUGUUCCAGUAGUCCAGAUUUUGUUGAUCACAUUUUCAAGGUGAUAGGACCACCAUGAUGCCUCCCAAGUGCCAGAGGCCACCUGCCAUCAACUCAAACACUGGCUGAAAAUGGCCUCUAGAUGAAAAACUGAAGGCCAUC
rnacentral:lncRNA from 1 species